rnacentral:rRNA from 1 species
GACAGAGGCCUCAAGCGUUAGGCGGAAUCACUGGGCUUAAAGGCGUGUGUAGGCGGAUCGUUAAAGUGUCAUUGUCGGAAAUCCCACGGCUCACCCGUGGAACUGCUGGGCAUACUGGCGAUCUUGGGCCAACUAGGGGCAACUGGAACAAGCGGUGGAGCGGUGAAAUGCGUAGAUAUCGCUUGGAACGCCAAAGGUGAAAACAG